GCCGGGAUAGCUCAGUUGGUAAAGC
rnacentral:tRNA from 2 species